AAGAUGAAUCAAUUGGAAGACUCGCCGAGGAAAACUCCACAAGAUGGACAAUAAUGUUUCUUAACUAAACAAGUAUCCAUACAAUAAGCAGUCCUGUCCGCCGAAGUGUCGUCAUCGUACAGAAGUACGCGCAGAUGCCGGAUAUAUCAGGCGCAUGAAACGAAAGGGGUUAACAAGAGCGUAAUAAUUUUAUAUAAAAAAAAAAAAAA